rnacentral:rRNA from 1 species
AUUGAACGCUGGCGGCAGGCCUAACACAUGCAAGUCGAGCGGUAGCACAGAGAGCUUGCUCUCGGGUGACGAGCGGCGGACGGGUGAGUAAUGUCUGGGAAACUGCCUGAUGGAGGGGGAUAACUACUGGAAACGGUAGCUAAUACCGCAUAAUGUCGCAAGACCAAAGUGGGGGACCUCCGGGCCUCAUGCCAUCAGAUGUGCCCAGAUGGGAUUAGCUAGUAGGUGGGGUAACGGCUCACCUAGGCGACGAUCCCUAGCUGGGCUGAGAGGAUGACCAGCCACACUGGAACUGGGACACGGUCCAGACUCCUACGGGAGGCAGCAGUGGGGAAUAUUCAACAAUGGGCGCAAGCCUGAUGCAGCCAUGCCGCGUGUGUGAAGAAGGCCUUCGGGUUGUAAAGCACUUUCAGCGGGGAGGAAGGCGUUAAGGUUAAUAACCUUGGCGAUUGACGUUACCCGCAGAAGAAGCACCGGCUAACUCCGUGCCAGCCGCCGCAGUAA